UACGUAUGGGGCAAGCGUUAUCCGGAUUUACUGGGUGUAAAGGGAGCGUAGGCAGCCUGGCAAGCCUGAUGUGAAAUACUGGGGCCCAACCCCGGGGCUGCAUUGGGAACUGCCAGGCUGGAGUGCCGGAGAGGCAGGCGGAAUUCCUAGUGUAGCGGUGAAAUGCGUAGAUAUUAGGAGGAACACCAGUGGCGAAGGCGGCCUGCUGGACGGUGACUGACGCUGAGGCUCGAAAGCGUGGGGAGCAAACAGG
rnacentral:rRNA from 1 species